AUAUCAAUAAGCGGAGGAAAAGAAACCAACAGGGAUUGCCCUAGUAACGGCGAGUGAAGCGGCAGCAGCUCAAAUUUGAAAUCUGGCUCCCCCCCGCGGGGUGCCCGAGUUGUAAUUUGCAGAGGAUGCCUCUGGCGCGGCGCCUUCCGAGUUCCCUGGAACGGGACGCCAUAGAGGGUGAGAGCCCCGUAUGGUCGGCAGCCAAGCCUCUGUGAGGCUCCUUCGACGAGUCGAGUAGUUUGGGAAUGCUGCUCAAAAUGGGAGGUAUAUGUCUUCUAAAGCUAAAUACCGGCCAGAGACCGAUAGCGCACAAGUAGAGUGAUCGAAAGAUGAAAAGCACUUUGAAAAGAGGGUUAAACAGUACGUGAAAUUGUUGAAAGGGAAGCGCUCGCGACCAGACUCGGGCCCGGCGGAUCAUCCGGCGUUCUUCGCCGGUGCACUCCGCCGGCGCCCGGGCCAGCAUCGGCUCGGCCGCGGGGGAUAAAGGCGGCGGGAACGUGGCCCCUCCGGGGGUGUUAUAGCCCGCCGCGCAAUGCCCCGCGCCGGGCCGAGGACCGCGCCCCAGGGCAAGGAUGCUGGCGUAAUGGUCGCUAGCGACCCGUCUUGAAACACGGACCAAGGAGUCGUCUUCGUAUGCGAGUGUUCGGGUGUCAAACCCCUACGCGCAAUGAAAGUGAACGCGGGUGAGAGCCCUCGCGGGCGCAUCACCGACCGAUCCUGAUGUUCUCGGAUGGAUUUGAGUAAGAGCAUACGGGGCCGGACCCGAAAGAAGGUGAACUAUGCCUGUGUAGGGUGAAGCCAGAGGAAACUCUGGUGGAGGCUCGCAGCGGUUCUGACGUGCAAAUCGAUCGUCAAACAUGGGCAUGGGGGCGAAAGACUAAUCGAACCUUCUAGUAGCUGGUUCCCGCC
rnacentral:rRNA from 1 species